rnacentral:rRNA from 1 species
GCCAGCUUGACUGCGAGCGUGACGGCGCGAGCAGGUGCGAAAGCAGGUCAUAGUGAUCCGGUGGUUCUGAAUGGAAGGGCCAUCGCUCAACGGAUAAAAGGUACUCCGGGGAUAACAGGCUGAUACCGCCCAAGAGUUCAUAUCGACGGCGGUGUUUGGCACCUCGAUGUCGGCUCAUCACAUCCUGGGGCUGAAGUAGGUCCCAAGGGUAUGGCUGUUCGCCAUUUAAAGUGGUACGCGAGCUGGGUUUAGAACGUCGUGAGACAGUUCGGUCCCUAUCUGCCGUGGGCGCUGGAGAACUGAGGGGGGCUGCUCCUAGUACGAGAGGACCGGAGUGGACGCAUCACUGGUGUUCGGGUUGUCAUGCCAAUGGCACUGCCCGGUAGCUAAAUGCGGAAGAGAUAAGUGCUGAAAGCAUCUAAGCACGAAACUUGCCCCGA